GGAGGUUGGCGGCGGACGAGCCGCUCGCCAACCGGGUCAGGUCCGAAAGGAAGCAGCCCUAACGAGUCCGGAACGGGUCACCGAUCCAGCCUCCCAC
rnacentral:SRP_RNA from 1 species